rnacentral:rRNA from 1 species
AACGAACGCUGGCGGCAUGCCUAACACAUGCAAGUCGAACGAGACCUUCGGGUCUAGUGGCGCACGGGUGCGUAACGCGUGGGAAUCUGCCCUUGGGUUCGGAAUAACAGUUGGAAACGACUGCUAAUACCGGAUGAUGACGUAAGUCCAAAGAUUUAUCGCCCAAGGAUGAGCCCGCGUAGGAUUAGCUAGUUGGUGAGGUAAAGGCUCACCAAGGCGACGAUCCUUAGCUGGUCUGAGAGGAUGAUCAGCCACACUGGGACUGAGACACGGCCCAGACUCCUACGGGAGGCAGCAGUGGGGAAUAUUGGACGAUGGGCGAAAGCCUGAUCCAGCCAUGCCGCGUGAGUGAUGAAGGCCUUAGGGUUGUAAAGCUCUUUUACCCGGGAUGAUAAUGACAGUACCGGGAGAAUAAGCACCGGCUAACUCCGUG